rnacentral:rRNA from 1 species
UGGGGAAUAUUGCACAAUGGGCGCAAGCCUGAUGCAGCCAUGCCGCGUGUGUGAAGAAGGCCUUCGGGUUGUAAAGCACUUUCAGCGGGGAGGAAGGCGAUAAGGUUAAUAACCUUGUCGAUUGACGUUACCCGCAGAAGAAGCACCGGCUAACUCCGUGCCAGCAGCCGCGGUAAUACGGAGGGUGCAAGCGUUAAUCGGAAUUACUGGGCGUAAAGCGCACGCAGGCGGUCUGUCAAGUCGGAUGUGAAAUCCCCGGGCUCAACCUGGGAACUGCAUUCGAAACUGGCAGGCUAGAGUCUUGUAGAGGGGGGUAGAAUUCCAGGUGUAGCGGUGAAAUGCGUAGAGAUCUGGAGGAAUACCGGUGGAGAAGGCGGCCCCCUGGACAAAGACUGACGCUCAGGUGCGAAAGCGUGGGGAGCAAACAGG